AUUGAACGCUGGCGGCAGGCCUAACACAUGCAAGUCGAGCGGAUGAAGGGAGCUUGCUCCUGGAUUCAGCGGCGGACGGGUGAGUAAUGCCUAGGAAUCUGCCUGGUAGUGGGGGAUAACGUCCGGAAACGGGCGCUAAUACCGCAUACGACCUGAGGGAGAAAGUGGGGGAUCUUCGGACCUCACGCUACCAGAUGAGCCUAGGUCGGAUUAGCUAGUUGGUGGGGUAAAGGCCUACCAAGGCGACGAUCCGUAACUGGUCUGAGAGGAUGAUCAGUCACACUGGAACUGAGACACGGUCCAGACUCCUACGGGAGGCAGCAGUGGGGAAUAUUGGACAAUGGGCGAAAGCCUGAUCCAGCCAUGCCGCGUGUGUGAAGAAGGUCUUCGGAUUGUAAAGCACUUUAAGUUGGGAGGAAGGGCAGUAAGUUAAUACCUUGCUGUUUUGACGUUACCAACAGAAUAAGCACCGGCUAACUUCGUG
rnacentral:rRNA from 1 species